AUUCACUUCACCUUCACUGCAGUCUUUGAAAGUCAUCGCUUCGCUGGACCACCACGCGCUGCCGGGAUGAGUGAUCCCCGUUAUGUGUUGAGCAGGAUCCAAGGUUCCCAGCACAGGUUGGGGGUUGAGAAUGUCUUCAUAGAUAACGCCCAUGUUUGAUGUUGUGCAUGUCAUUUUGAAUUUUUAGAAAUUUCAUGGCUGUUUUUGAGCAUGGAAUUUGAUCUUGAAGGUUAAUGAACAUGAAAAUGAAAGUUUUUCCUGCAGAUCUGCUGUCUCUUUAUGAUGUUUAUGAGGGCCAUCAUGCCUACUUGGUUCUCAAGACUCAAAUUUGGAACCUCAAACUUCAAGAUCUCUUGGGAAAUCAAGAAGAGGAAUGGAGUCUGUAGAGAAAGGAAAAAAAAGUAGACAAUUCAUAUACUGUAGACAUUCUGGAGGGGUUAUAUAAAACCUCUAAAAUGCAAUGUGAUAUUUUUGAGUGCUCCUAGGUUACCAAUUGUGGUUUCUAUCUCAUUUCUUCUACAAAAAUUUUUUUAAAAAAUCCAAUGUAGCAGACUUUGCAAUUAAAAUUUAAUUUAUUACUGA